UACAGAGGUCCCGAGCGUUGUUCGGAUUCACUGGGCGUAAAGGGUGCGUAGGUGGUAGGGUAAGUCGGAUGUGAAAGCUCGGAGCUCAACUCCGAAAUGGCAUUGGAAACUACUCUGCUAGAGGAUUGGAGGGGGGACUGGAAUGCUUGGUGUAGCAGUGAAAUGCGUAGAUAUCAAGCGGAACACCAGUGGCGAAGGCGAGUCCCUGGACAAUUCCUGACACUGAGGCACGAAAGCUAGGGGAGCAAACAGG
rnacentral:rRNA from 1 species